CAAUAAUGUGUCGGUGGGGAUGUCCUUAUACCAACACGACUUACAUGUGCAAAUGGUGCGGUACAAGAUACUGUCGUGAGUGCCUAAAAGUCUAAAUGCCAAGGCCAAAGGGUAGAAUACAUGCCAGGUCACGCCUGGCCCCUUGCCGAUAAGAACGGCGAUAAUUCGACAAGGAAACGCAG